rnacentral:rRNA from 1 species
GCUGAUCCUGCUGGCGGAUACUGCUAUCGAAGUUUGAAUUAGACAUGCAAGUCUUAUGAGCAAUCUAUGGUGUUCAUGGCAAACGGCUCAGUAACACGUAGAUAACCUAACCUCAGGAGGAGGCAAACCCGGGAAACUGGGCUUAAUUCUCCAUAGGAAAUUGAUACUGGAAGGUUCUUUUUCUUAAAGGAUUUAAUCCAUGAUUUAAAUCCGCCUGAGGAUGAGUCUGCGGUGGAUUAGGUUGUUGGCGGGGUAAUUGCCCACCAAGCCUAAGAUCUGUACGGGCCUUGAAAGAGGUGGCCCGGAGAAGGACACUGAGAUAAGGGUCCUAGCCCUACGGGGUGCAGCAGUCGCGAAACCUCUACAAUGCACGCAAGUGUGAUAGGGGGACUUCGAGUGCGCUCUUUGAGUGCUUUUGCCAAGCCUAAAAAGCUUGGCGAAUAAGUGGGGGGUAAUAUACGUGCCAGCCGCCGCGGUAAUACGUAACCCACGAGUGGUAUCCACUAAUAUUGGGCCUAAAACGUCUGUAGCCUGUUUUGUAAGUCUUCUGUGAAAUCAGCAAGCUCAACUUGUUGAAUUGCAAAAGAUACUGCACGACUCGAGGCCGGAAGAGGUAAAGGGAAUUUCAGGGGUAACGGUGAAAUGUUAUGAUCCCUGAAAGACCACCAGUAGCGAAGGCGCUUUACCAGGACGGUCCUGACGGUGAGAGACGAAAGCUGGGGGAGCGACCAGGAUUAGAUACCCUGUUAGUCCCAGCCGUAAACGAUGUGAACUAGGUGUCCUAAUACCUAAGAGGUAUGGGGGUGCCGAAGCGAAGGCGUUAAGUUCACUGCCUGGGGAGUAUAAUCGCAAGGUUGAAACUUAAUGGAAUUGGCGGGGGCGCACUACAAGGGGUGGAUGCUGCGGUUCAAUUGGAUUCAACGCCAGAUAUCUUACCAGAAACGACAGCAGAAUGAUGGUCAGCCUGAAGGGCUUACCUGACGCGCUGAGAGGUGUUGUACGGUCAUCGUCAGCUCGUACUAUGAAGCGUCCUGUUAACUCAGGCAACGGGCGAGACCCAUAUUCUUAGUUGCUAUUACUCAAUUUGGUAAGCACUCUAGGAAAACUGCAUGUGUAAACAUGAGGAAGGAAUGGGCAACGGUAGAUCUGUAUGGCCCGAAUUUUCUGGGCAACACGCGGCAUACAAUGGUUAAUACAAUGGGCUCCGACUCCGAAAGGAGAAGGUAAUCUCCUAACAUUAAUCUUAGUUCGGAUUGAGGGUUGUAACUCACCCUCAUGAAGCUGGAAUCCCCAGUAAUCGUGUGUCACUAUCACACGGUGAAUAAGUCCCUGCGCCUUGCACACACCGCCCAUCAAGCCAGCUGAAUGGAGUUUAGAUGAAUUGCACUCAUUCGAGAGUAAUUAUUCUGGGCUCUGUAAGGCGGGCUAAGUUGUAACAAGGUG